rnacentral:rRNA from 1 species
UACAGAGGUCCCAAGCGUUUGUUCGGAUUCAUUGGGCGUAAAGGGUGCGUAGGCGGCGCGGUAAGUCGGGUGUGAAAUCUCGGGGCUUAACUCCGAAACUGCAUUCGAUACUGCCGUGCUUGAGGACUGGAGAGGAGACUGGGAAUUUACGGUGUAGCGGUGAAAUGCGUAGAUAUCGUAAGGAAGACCAGUGGCGAAGGCGGGGUCUCUGGACAGUUCCUGACGCUGAGGCACGAAGGCCAGGGGAGCAAACGGG